GACGAACGCUGGCGGCGUGCCUAAUACAUGCAAGUAGAACGCUGAAGGAGGAGCUUGCUCUUCUGGAUGAGUUGCGAACGGGUGAGUAACGCGUAGGUAACCUGCCUGGUAGCGGGGGAUAACUAUUGGAAACGAUAGCUAAUACCGCAUAACAGUAGAUGUUGCAUGACAUUUACUUAAAAGGUGCAAUUGCAUCACUACCAGAUGGACCUGCGUUGUAUUAGCUAGUUGGUGGGGUAACGGCUCACCAAGGCGACGAUACAUAGCCGACCUGAGAGGGUGAUCGGCCACACUGGGGCUGAGACACGGCCCAGACUCCUACGGGAGGCAGCAGUAGGGAAUCUUCGGCAAUGGACGGAAGUCUGACCGAGCAACGCCGCGUGAGUGAAGAAGGGUUUCGGAUCGUAAAGCUCUGUUGUAAGAGAAGAACGAGUGUGAGAGUGGAAAGUUCACACUGUGACGGUAGCUUACCAGAAAGGGACGGCUAACUACGUG
rnacentral:rRNA from 1 species